rnacentral:rRNA from 1 species
ACAAGCGGUGGAGCAUGUGGUUUAAUUCGAUGCAACGCGAAGAACCUUACCUGGUCUUGACAUCCCGGAGACCCUUAGGAACGUAGGGGUGCUUCCAUCUGGAAGAAUCUGGAGACAGGUGCUGCAUGGCUGUCGUCAGCUCGUGUCGUGAGAUGUUGGGUUAAGUCCCGCAACGAGCGCAACCCUUGCCUUUAGUUGCCAGCAGUUCGGCUGGGCACUCUAAAGGGACUGCCGGUGUUAAACCGGAGGAAGGUGGGGAUGACGUCAAGUCCUCAUGGCCUUUAUGACCAGGGCUACACACGUACUACAAUGGCCGAUACAAAGGGCAGCGACACUGCGAGGUGAAGCCAAUCCCGUAAAAUCGGUCUCAGUCCGGAUUGGAGUCUGCAACUCGACUCCAUGAAGUUGGAAUCGCUAGUAAUCGUGGAUCAGCAUGCCACGGUGAAUACGUUCCCGGGCCUU